rnacentral:rRNA from 1 species
AUGCAAGUCGAACGCAGUAGCAAUACUGAGUGGCAGACGGGUGAGUAACAUGUGGGAAUCUGCCUUGUGGUUCAGGACAACAUUGGGAAACCGAUGCUAAUACUGGAUAAGCCCUUACGGGGAAAGUUUUAAUGCCAUAAGAUGAGCCCGCAUUUGAUUAGUUAGUUGGUGAGGUAAUGGCUCACCAAGACAAUGAUCAAUAGCUGAUCUGAGAGGAUGAUCAGCCACACUGGGACUGAGACACGGCCCAGACUCCUACGGGAGGCAGCAGUGGGGAAUCUUGCACAAUGGAGGAAACUCUGAUGCAGCGAUGCCGCGUGAGUGAAGAAGGCCUUUGGGUUGUAAAGCUCUUUUGUAGGGGAAGAUAAUGACUGUACCCUAAGAAUAAGGUCCGGCUAACUUCGUGCCAGCAGCCGCGGUAAUACGAAGGGACCUAGCGUAGUUCGGAAUUACUGGGCGUAAAGCGCGCGUAGGCCGUUGAGUUAGUUAAUUGUGAAAUCCCAAAGCUUAACUUUGGAACUGCAAUUAAAACUGCUCGACUAGAGUUUGAUAGAGGAAAGCGGAAUACAUAGUGUAGAGGUGAAAUUCGUAGAUAUUAUGUAGAACACCAGUUGCGAAGGCGGCUUUCUGGAUCAACACUGACGCUGAGGCGCGAAAGUAUGGGUAGCAAAGAGGAUUAGAUACCCUCGUAGUCCAUACCAUAAACGAUGAUUGCUAGAUGUUGGAAAUUUAUUUUCAGUAUCGCAGCUAACGCAUUAAGCAAUCCGCCUGGGGAGUACGACCGCAAGGUUAAAACUCAAAUGAAUUGACGGGGACCCGCACAAGCGGUGGAGCAUGUGGUUUAAUUCGAAGAUACGCGCAGAACCUUACCAACCCUUGACAUGUCUGUCGCGAGUUUAGGAAACUAGACUUUUCGGUU